AGGUUGGUCCCUACCUACUGUGGGCGUAAGAGUCUUGAGCGAGUCUCACUUUAGUACGAGAGGAUUGGGUGGGACGUACCUCUGGUGUUCCUGUUGGGCCGCCAGGCCCAGCGCAGGGUAGCUAUGUACGGAAAGGAUAAGCGCUGAAAGCAUAUAAGCGCGAAGCCCUUCGCGAGAUAAGGACUCUCUAUCAGGACCGUGGCAGACUACCACGUCGAUAGGCCGGGUGUGGACGAGUGGUAACACUCUCGAGCUAACCGGUACUAAUCAUCCGAUCGGCUUGACCGC
rnacentral:rRNA from 1 species